GCCGAAGUGGCGGAAUGGCAGACGCGCUGCGUUCAGGGCGCAGUGUCCGUAAGGGCGUGUGGGUUCAAAUCCCACCUUCGGCACCA
rnacentral:tRNA from 1 species